AGCACUCAAGAGUAUACGGAGGAUGGCUUGACAAAACAUGCUGAUGAAGGACGUAGUAAUCUGCGAUAAGCUUCGGUGAGGUGAUAAACAACCUUUGACCCGAAGAUCUCCGAAUGGGGAAACCCGAUUGGGGGAAUGCCCAAUCACUGUGCACUGAAUACAUAGGUGUACGGAAGGCACCCAGGGAAGUGAAACAUCUCAGUACCUGGAGGAAAAGAAAAGAAGGAUCAACUAUCUCAGCUAUUAGCUUUUAGCUUAUAGCUUUUAGGGCGACCUAUAAGCUAGUAGCUAUCAGCUAUAAGCUGAGACAAUAGUUGUUCUCAUUCCCAGAGUAGUGGCGAGCGAAAUGGGAACAGCCCAAACCUAUUAAGUGAAGUCCGCUGAAAUUUCUCUUCAGAGAGGUGUAGGCGAAACGAAAGAUAUCAGUCGUUGCUUAGUAGGUGUUGUAAGCACAUAUGUCCAUGUCUGAUAGCAUGGGAAGUGAUAUUCGUCUUUUAGUGAAAUCUACUGGGAAGUAGAACCAUAGAAGGUGAUAGUCCUGUACGCGAAAAAAGUUCGAGUACGCUUGAUAUGUUUGCUUGAGUACGGCGGAACACGUGAAAUUCUGUCGGAAUCUGCCGCGACUAUGCGGUAAGGCUAAAUACAUGUUUUGAUCGAUAGUGAAGAGUACCGUGAGGGAAAGCUUAAAAGAACCCCGAGAGGGGAGUGAAAUAGCAUCUGAAACCGUAUACUUACAAGGAGUCGGAGCCCCGCACCUUUCCUAAGAUGGAUUGGUCGGAUAAAGAAAAGUGGAGUCGCUAGACGACUUCGCCUUUCGACGUGUCGGUCUCAACAUAUUAUGUUGGGAAAGGUGCGGGGUGACGGCGUUCCUAUUGAAGAAUGAGCCAACGAGUCUGUGUGUGUUGCAGGUUAAGUCCUAAGGGACGGAGCCAGAGUGAAAGCGAGCCUUAACGGGCGUUAGUAGCAUACAUAGGACCCGAAACCGGGUGACCUAACCAUGGCCAGGGUGAAGCGGGUGUAACAGCCCGUGGAGGCCCGAACCCACGCACCGUGCAAAAUGCGGGGAUGAGCUGUGGUUAGCGGAGAAAUUCCAAUCGAACUCGGUAAUAGCUGGUUCUCCUCGAGAUAUGUUUAGGCAUAGCGUCAGUUAAUAGCGUGUUGGGGGUAGAGCACUGAUUGGGGUUGGCGUCUUCGGAUAGCCACCCUAGCCAAACUCCGAAUACUAACACGUGUUCCUGGCAGUCAGACCAUGGGGGCGAAGCUCCAUUGGUCGAAAGGGAAACAGCCCAGAUCUCAAGCUAAGGUCCCUAAAUCACUACUAAGUGUAAAAGGUGGUGAGGAAACUUAUACAACCAGGAGGUUGGCUUAGAAGCAGCCAUCCUUUAAAGAUAGCGUAACAGCUCACUGGUCAAGUUUCCUUGCGCCGAAAAUAUACCGGGGCUAAGUAGUGUACCGAAGCUGAGGGUGUAAUGAUUCUUCGGAGUCAUUACGCGGUAGAGGAGCGUUUCUAUUGCGAUGAAGUCGUACCGUAAGGUGCGGUGGAGCGAUAGGAAGUGAGAAUGUUGGCAUGAGUAGCAAAAAGACAGGUGAGAAUCCUGUCCGCCGAAAAUCUAAGGUUUCCACAGCAACGAGAAUCGACUGUGGGUUAGUCGGGAGCUAAGGCGAGGCCGAAAGGCGUAGUCGAUGCACAGCAGGCUAAUAUUCCUGCACCACGUUAUUUUUCCGAUGGGGGGACGUUUGUUUUAUCUUCCUGUGUCCUAUGGCUAUGACACUGGGGGCUCGAAGUUGAUGGGUAGGCAAAUCCGCUCGUCAUAAGACUUUGAGUCAUCGCAAUCCCGCUUCGGCGGGAGAGAGGAAGUGAGAACGAACCAAGAAAAUCCUCUAGGGUUAAGGAUAACGUGCCCGUACUAAAACCGACACAGGUAGAUAGGUGUUAAAGCACUAAGGCGUACGAGAGAAACAUUGUUAGGGAACUCGGCAAAACAGCGGCCGUAACUUCGGGAUAAGGCCUGGUUUUCUCCGGGAGGAGAAGACCCACAGCUAAGGAUUGCAAGCGACUGUUUAUCAAAAANNNNNNNNNNNNNNNNNNNNNNNNNNNNNNNNNNNNNNNCGUAACUAUAACGGUCCUAAGGUAGCGAAAUUCCUUGUCGGGUGAGUUCCGACCUGCACGAAUGGCAUAACGACUUGCAAACUGUCCCAACAAUGUACUCGGCGAAAUUGCGAGGGGAGUGAAGAUGCUCUCUACGCACAGUUGGACGAAAAGACCCCGUGAAGCUUUACUAUAGCUUGCUAUUGGGUUCAUGUUUCACAUGUUCAGUAUAGGUGGGAGCCUUCGGGCGCCAGUGAGAUACCACCCUUGUGUUGUGUGAAUUCUAACCGGAGACCAUGAAUCUGGUUUCUAGAACAGUAGCUGGUAGGUAGUUUGACUGGGGCGGUAGCCUCCUAAAAAGUAACGGAGGCGUUUACAAAGGUUCUCUUAGCCCGGAUGGAAAUCGGGCUGAAUGUGCAAGCGCAUAAGAGAGCUUUACUGCAAGGCUGACACGCCGAGCAGUUGCGAAAGCAGAAGCUAGUGAUCCGACCGUUCGAUAUAGGACGGCGGAAGCUCAUCGGAUAAAAGCUACUNNNNNNNNNNNNNNNNNNNNCCCAAGGGUUAGGCUGUUCGCCUAUUAAAGCGGUACGCGAGCUGGGUUCAGAACGUCGUGAGACAGUUCGGUCUCCUAUCCACUGCGCGCGUUGAAGAUUGAAAGGACUCAUCCCUAGUACGAGAGGACCGGGAUGAACUGACCUCUGGUGUACCAGUUGUCGCGCCCGCGGCAUUGCUGGGUAGCUACGUCGGGUUCGGAUAACCGCUGAAAGCAUCUAAGCGGGAAGUCGACCUUAAGAUUAAUCUUCGUUUGAGACACCUGAGAGACUAUCAGGUUGAUAGGCACUAGGUAUAAGCUUGGUAACAAGUUAAGCCGAGGUGUACUAAUAAGUCGAAG
rnacentral:rRNA from 1 species